UUACCAGAGUGCCUUUUGGGCUCUCCAACCCACUGUGAACAUACCUACGUUUCCCUCGGCGGGCUCAGCGCGCGGCGGUACUCCCGCCACGCGUCCGCCGGGGGCCCCCAAACUCGAAUUUACUACGUGUAUCUCUGAGGGGCGAAAGCCCGUAAAACAAAAUGAAUCAAAACUUUCAACAACGGAUCUCUUGGCUCUGGCAUCGAUGAAGAACGCAGCGAAAUGCGAUAAGUAAUGUGAAUUGCAGAAUUCAGUGAAUCAUCGAAUCUUUGAACGCACAUUGCGCCCGCCGGCACUCCGGCGGGCAUGCCUGUCCGAGCGUCAUUUCAACCCUCGGGCCCACCCUUCACGGGGAUCGGGCCCGGCGUUGGGGACCGGAGGCCGCCUCGGCGGCACCCGCCCCCUAAAUUCAGUGGCGGUCGCGCCGCAGCCUCCCCUGCGUAGUAGCACACCUCGCACCGGAGAGCGGCACGGCCACGCCUCGAAACCCCCCAAUUUAUCAAGGUUGACCUCGGAUCAGGUAGGAAUACCCGCUGAACUUAAGCAUAUCAAUAAGCCGGAGGA
rnacentral:rRNA from 1 species